rnacentral:rRNA from 1 species
GUGGGGAAUAUUGGACAAUGGGCGAAAGCCUGAUCCAGCAAUGCCGCGUGCAGGAUGAAGGCCCUCGGGUUGUAAACUGCUUUUGUACGGAACGAAAAGCCUGGGGCUAAUAUCCCCGGGUCAUGACGGUACCGUAAGAAUAAGCACCGGCUAACUACGUGCCAGCAGCCGCGGUAAUACGUAGGGUGCAAGCGUUAAUCGGAAUUACUGGGCGUAAAGCGUGCGCAGGCGGUUUUGUAAGACAGUGGUGAAAUCCCCGGGCGCAACCUGGGAACUGCCAUUGUGACUGCAAGGCUAGAGUGCGGCAGAGGGGGAUGGAAUUCCGCGUGUAGCAGUGAAAUGCGUAGAUAUGCGGAGGAACACCGAUGGCGAAGGCAAUCCCCUGGGCCUGCACUGACGCUCAUGCACGAAAGCGUGGGGAGCAAACAGGAUUAGAAACCCGGGUAGUCC